rnacentral:lncRNA from 1 species
AGAUAUUGAAAUAUUUAUUUUCUUUAAUCUUUUUAGUCAAUUGGAAAUCUCGUUUAUGUAUUGAUUUUAAUCAUGAAGUCAGAAUUUGCUGGUUUAUCAAUUAAUGAGGAGGAAGAUGAGAUCUUACAAGUAUGAGUCGAGCCAAACUCAGAGAGGGAGGUGGAAACUUUUUGUCUAGUGGGGUGUUUUCUCACAGCUAGC